CCAAUAGCGUAUAUUAAAGUUGCUGCAGUUAAAAAGCUCGUAGUUGAAUUUCGGGAUCAUCAUGUCGGUCGUGCCUCGGUACGUACUGGCAUUGUUGGUCUCUACCUUCUGACGAACCAUGAUGUCAUUUAUUUGGUGUCGUGGGAAAUCAGGACUGUUACUUUGAAACAAUUAGAGUGUUUAAAGCAGGCUCACGCUUGAAUACAUUAGCAUGGAAUAAUGAAAUAGGACGGUUGAUUCUAUUUUGUUGGUUUCUAGGAUCGACGUAAUGAUUAAUAGGGAUAGUUGGGGGCAUUAGUAUUCAAUUGUCAGAGGUGAAAUUCUUGGAUUUAUUGAAGACUAACUACUGCGAAAGCAUUUGCCAAGGAUGUUUUCAUUAAUCAAGAACGAAAGUUAGGGGAUCGAAGACGAUCAGAUACCGUCGUAGUCUUAACCAUAAACUAUGCCGACUAGGGAUCGGAUGAUGUUAAUUUUUUAAUGACUCAUUCGGCGCCUUACG
rnacentral:rRNA from 1 species